rnacentral:rRNA from 1 species
GACGUAGGGCGUGAGCGUUGUCCGGAUUUAUUGGGCGUAAAGAGCUCGUAGGCGGCUCGUUGCGUCGGCUGUGAAAACCCGCAGCUCAACUGUGGGCUUGCAGCUGAUACGGGCGGGCUGGGAUUCGGUAGGGGAGACUGGAAUUCCUGGUGUAGCGGUGAAAUGCGCAGAUAUCAGGAGGAACACCGGUGGCGAAGGCGGGUCUCUGGGCCGAUAUCGACGCUGAGGAGCGAAAGCCAGGGGAGCGAACGGG